GGCUGGUCCAAGGUAGUGAGUUAUCUCAGUUGAUUGUUCACAGCCAGUUACAGAUUGAACUCCUUAUUCUCUACACUUUCUCGUGCUUCUCACUACUGCACUUGACUAGUCUAAA
rnacentral:Y_RNA from 1 species